CCCCGCCCCCGCCGGCCCCUUUGGGCGGGAAAGGCGCGCGCGCGCGAGAGAGAAGCCGCCUCAGGACGGGGCGUCUCGGUGUCCCUGAGGGAGCUUCCUCCGCCGCCCCGCUAGGAUCUUCAAACUACACAGCUCUUAUUCCCCAAGAAUCUCGAGUGUCGUAUUCAGAAUAGUAGAAGACUGACUGUGGGUCCAUGUCAGAGCUAUGCGCAGCACUUCAGCUAAGAGACCCAGGGGACUCUGGAGACCUGGAUGGACAUCUGCAAUUUUUGGCACCACCUUUGUGACCUUGGCUGUUCUGCCCUGAGAAGCUGCAGCGGAAGGGCUCUUUUCCUCUCUGGGUACGUUAGCCCUCCUGGUCCCCCUUGCCCAGCCGGCGCCAGGUGUGUCUUUCUUUCUGUCAGACCUCUUCCUAAGGGGCAAAGCUUUGUUUGUGUGCUAAUUUGGUAAAUUAUAUGGGCAACUUUUCACCCAAAGGCUCCUGAAGUCAGCAAGCUGUUUUAUUAAUAAAAAACAGUGGAAACAUCAUAAAAAGAGCUGCAAACACAUAAACUAUAUAAAAAAGGCCACCACUGGCAGUAGGCAAAUACAUGGCAGUGAUAAUCCGAUCUGAACACCUGCGUGACAGUCUUUACCAGUCUGUGAAAUGGCCAGGAAGAAGAGAGGCUGCACCCAAAGGAAGGAGGACCAGAGUCUGCACUGGUACCACAGCCAAAAAAGACCCUCCCUGCAUGUGAACAGCCUCAAGGUCUAUGGAUGAAGGGCGAUAUACAAAUUUAAUAAAUAAUAAUGUGGUCCCCUCCAUGUUUCUGCUGGAGGGGAAGGAGGGAUGUGGAGCAGGGCCUCCCCAGCAGAUCUCAGAACGGCAAGCGGGAUAACCAGGUUUAACAACACUUGGGACCAGAGAUGAUAACCAGCACUUUGAACUGGGCUCAGAAAGAAAUCAGGAACUGAUUAAGAGGGAACAACAAUUUGCCCUCUCCUUAUCUGAGAGGUCUUCUAUGUCAUCAGCCGUUCCAUGACAGGCAGAAAUUCUACAUGCUCGCAUUUUGCCUGCCACCACAUCUCAAUGCUAACAA